rnacentral:rRNA from 1 species
GGUUUUGGCUCUAACAACCUGGGGCUGUGAUCUCAUCAGAAUUCACAAGCUAAACAGGGUUGGGCCUGGCUAGCAUGUGGAUGGGUGACCUUGAAGGGGAACACAGAUGCUGCUGGAAAUG